GGGAAGAAGAAACUGGAAAGUGAAACUGACUUAAACUCAGCCAAAAGAGGAAAACGAAACUGAACGCUGAGGAUCUUCUAUGACCCCAGCCACGGAGCUUUGUGUGAGUUCUUGACUCCAAGCCUGCUGUGCCAGAGGGUAUCUGUCAGAGCAAGGGAGAGCUGACUGAGUGGAGGGUAGAAUUCUGACAUCAACCAUGACUCAGCCUGCCAUGGAGAAACAAGCUCUAAGUUGAUGGAGAGAGAAGGCAGAGGUUGGGGGCCCUUUUCAGUGAGAAAAAUGAUUUGAAAGCAAGCAAGAGCUAAGAGAAGUUCUCCUCUCCGCUUCACUCACACAAACACAGCUGAGAAUAUCUCUGGCUGGGAAUUCUACGCAUGGAGUGCCAACCGAAGGCAUACAGAAGCAGUAUUGUGGUCAAACAAUGCAGAUGUGUAGGAUUCAGAGCAAAACAAACAGCACAGAGCCACAUCAUUUUGACAGGCUUGUUAGUUAGCACACAGGGGAGCUUUAUCCCUUACCCGGGCAUAUCUAUGAGACACAUGAGCACGUGGACAAAUCCUGUCUUCUGAGCAGUGAGGUAGGACCAGUUUUUACAGCUCCUCUGAUAACAGAGCACAAGUUGAUCAUGGAGGCUGGAGACCUUAUUCACAGGCCAGCAUGUUCCAGGUCAAAUAAAGCACAACUCCGCUGUUUUCCUUCAGAAAAGCAUGUGAGGCCUGGGAACGUCAUCUGACCUAUGUAUUCUCCAGACAGUGAAGAAGAGGGCGGGCCUAUCUGUGUUUCUCCCCCAUGUAAAUUGGCACUCCAGAUUUCCUUCUUAAGAAAUGCCAACACGAGAUGUUUCCACGUCUGUUUUGUCAAUUUGUUAUACCCACAUGUAACCUUAUCGAGGGGGAUGCCAUCCCCUGACAGAUGUGGUCAAGCUAUAUCCUAAAAUCCCUCUGUGAUCUUUGAUUGGGUCCCUGCCUUGAAUUUCUGUCUUGGUUCCCCGAAACACUGGACUGUAACUUGUAAGCUAAAUAAACCAGUUACCCCUCAA